AUCUUGUUUUUAUUCCGAUCAUCAGUUAAAUUAAUAAAAGCAAAUUGAGGCAAUUGUAUCCGCUUUUAUUUAAAUAAACGAAAAUAUAAGCAUGCAAAUGAAAAUGAUGAAAUGCCCGUUGAUAUGUAUACAUAUAGUCAAACCUUAUUUGCAAAAUAAUGUACAAGUGAAUUCGUACAAAUUAUGUAUGUGUGAUAAUCAGUGUAAACUGUGAUAGCAUACAUAUAUGCGUGCGCAUUGUUUUGAAACGCGCAUCGAGGAUAUUAUUAUAUUAUUUUCAACAAUUGGAUAAAGUGCCUGUCGGGUAUCCCCAAGCAAUCCCAUCGAGGGAAAAGAUAUAUGGCUAGACAUCUGGGUUCAAAUGUCAGCACCCGCCACGAUCAGAUGAUGCACUUCUGCGCUGGGAUACCCUGAUGUCACGCAUGUUAGCACGCAAAGGGUAAAAUCGACCCAAAGCGACGGCGAGCAUAAUGAAUGUUUGAGAUAUUUGUGAUAACAUUUAACAGACGCGUCUGUCCCAGCAAAAGAAAUUUUACAUUGGUCUCAAACCGCUUGAGUGCGAGAUAGUUACUUAACGGCUAAGUUAUUAGGAUUGAUUAAAAAUCUAUAGAUAAUAUUCAUUUGUUUAUUUUUAGUAAAUAUAAAUAUCUUUAUUAUGCUGACUGGUGUAAAUCUCUGUAUUAAUAGAUCUUUUCAUUCGGUUUUAAUACAUAUGCCCUUAGAUUAGAGAUAACAGAACUUUGCGUUAUAUUCUAAUAAAAACUAAUAAUUGUUAUCCACAGCAUUAAAAUCAAGGAACGCCCGUAUGAAUGUGAAGUAUGCCUUAACAACGCGAAAACUGGUUGACUUAGACGUGCAGACGCGAAAACCUACUAAAGGUGAAAUCAUGUUAAUCUGUUGUGAAUUUAAAAAUAUACUACAUUUAAAUUAUAAUUUGAAGAAAGAUACUAAUAGAAAGAUAGUUAUAAUCCAGAUUUGAUUAUCCAAAAUUUGAUGAAAUAAAAUGGCCUGGUUAAUGCCGAAUUGUAAACUCUUUUACAUAUUUUUAAAAUGAAUCUUAAAAUUAUAUUACUAAUGUAAAACAUAGGUAUAUUAAUAUUUCAAUUUUUAUAUAUAUUAUUAUUUUUGAAAUGUAUUACAUAACAACUUUUAAUAGCUUGCAUUAAUUACAAAAUAUUCAAUUUAACUUACAAUUACAUUUCAGUUUAAUUAUUGAAAAAAAUAUUACAAAUGCAAACACUAGUUUUGGUAUUUUAGUUUCAUACACUUAAAAUAAACAAUAGCUUCCUCCAAAUCGAAAAUGCAAUAUUUUUAAUGAUUUAUUAUCGAUAGUUAGCAGCUCUCAUUCGCUCAUCUCGAAGCGUUGCCGAUAGCUAAAAACUAUCGGAAAUUCAUCAUCAAAUAGUAUCGUUGCUGCACGAAACUUGACAAUCGUGCUACCAGCGCUAUCGGCAACAUUUAAAUGCUUAAAUUUAAUAAAAAAAAAAACUAUAAAGUUAAGUUUCGACGCCGGAAAUAGAAUCUUGAGAAAAAACUACGUGGAAUAGACACCACACCCAACUUAUUUGAAGUUCACUUUUGUAGAGUAAUAAAAACGAUGCAUUACCCCAAAAAUAAAUGGCGCCAUGCCAAUGCAGAAUCAUCAGGUACAAAACCAUUUUUAAAAGAUUUGUUGUAACUUACCAGCAGAAGAAAAUGUUGGCGUUUUCCAAGUAGCAAAAGCCCAGCACUCAAAGGGACGGCUAAAGCAACAUUGGCAGCCUGAGCACUUUCAGCGGCGGAGUUAGACUUUACGAACUCGUAAACUUACUUUAUUUUAAUUUCACAAUGACCAAGAUGGGUCGCCAUAUAUAUCUGCGUAGUAAGCGUUACCGAUACUAUUAUUUGUUUAGGCGGAAACAAUAUAAAAGUCCAUAUGUAUAUUGUUAUAUUGUGUUAUAGGAGAGCAAUCGAGAACUCUAGGAAUAAUUGACACUUACAAGUUGUUAACUUUUAAUAGUAAUCUCCGGCCUCAGUAGCGCGACUGAAAAUAACUAAAAAAGAGAUGCAUACAUUUUUCUGAUUGAAUGGCAGUCGAACUAUCGAUAAAAAAAACUAAUGGAAUGCUCUCGAUGGGGAAGCUAUCGGAAAAUAAACCUUGUAUGGUAAUCAUUUCGUAAGUUAGUCAGGACAAACUAUUUCACAUCUAGGUCUUGCCAUUUAUUCUAACCUCUGUCCACUAAACACAUUUCUGAAAAUGUCACAUUUUUGAAAAAAUGUCACAUAUUUGAAAAAUGUGUAAAAAUGUCACAUUUUUGAAAAAGGUGUAUUUUUGCCCCGAAAAUUUCGUGUUUUUUGCGAUGAUUAAUCGAGAUUUCUAUCGAUGUUGGGAAAAAUGUGAAAGUAUCAAACGCAAAAACAGCUGAUAUAUCAACGAGUGCAAGCAGCAUCUUUAAAAAAAAAAUUUAAAUGGCACGUAACAAGUAUAAUUUCAUAGCAUUUUAAUGUGAAAUCAAGAUACUCUAAACAUCGGACUAUCGUAAUAAACGUUCGAAUUGUAACAUCUUGUUUUUAUUCCGAUCAUCAGUUAAAUUAAUAAAAGCAAAUUGAGGCAAUUGUAUCCGCUUUUAUUUAAAUAAACGAAAAUAUAAGCAUGCAAAUGAAAAUGAUGAAAUGCCCGUUGAUAUGUAUACAUAUAGUCAAACCUUAUUUGCAAAAUAAUGUACAAGUGAAUUCGUACAAAUUAUGUAUGUGUGAUAAUCAGUGUAAACUGUGAUAGCAUACAUAUAUGCGUGCGCAUUGUUUUGAAACGCGCAUCGAGGAUAUUAUUAUAUUAUUUUCAACAAUUGGAUAAAGUGCCUGUCGGGUAUCCCCAAGCAAUCCCAUCGAGGGAAAAGAUAUAUGGCUAGACAUCUGGGUUCAAAUGUCAGCACCCGCCACGAUCAGAUGAUGCACUUCUGCGCUGGGAUACCCUGAUGUCACGCAUGUUAGCACGCAAAGGGUAAAAUCGACCCAAAGCGACGGCGAGCAUAAUGAAUGUUUGAGAUAUUUGUGAUAACAUUUAACAGACGCGUCUGUCCCAGCAAAAGAAAUUUUACAUUGGUCUCAAACCGCUUGAGUGCGAGAUAGUUACUUAACGGCUAAGUUAUUAGGAUUGAUUAAAAAUCUAUAGAUAAUAUUCAUUUGUUUAUUUUUAGUAAAUAUAAAUAUCUUUAUUAUGCUGACUGGUGUAAAUCUCUGUAUUAAUAGAUCUUUUCAUUCGGUUUUAAUACAUAUGCCCUUAGAUUAGAGAUAACAGAACUUUGCGUUAUAUUCUAAUAAAAACUAAUAAUUGUUAUCCACAGCAUUAAAAUCAAGGAACGCCCGUAUGAAUGUGAAGUAUGCCUUAACAACGCGAAAACUGGUUGACUUAGACGUGCAGACGCGAAAACCUACUAAAGGUGAAAUCAUGUUAAUCUGUUGUGAAUUUAAAAAUAUACUACAUUUAAAUUAUAAUUUGAAGAAAGAUACUAAUAGAAAGAUAGUUAUAAUCCAGAUUUGAUUAUCCAAAAUUUGAUGAAAUAAAAUGGCCUGGUUAAUGCCGAAUUGUAAACUCUUUUACAUAUUUUUAAAAUGAAUCUUAAAAUUAUAUUACUAAUGUAAAACAUAGGUAUAUUAAUAUUUCAAUUUUUAUAUAUAUUAUUAUUUUUGAAAUGUAUUACAUAACAACUUUUAAUAGCUUGCAUUAAUUACAAAAUAU